AUUAUGCCCGUGUCACACUGUCCCGAUUUUUAUAUACGAUGGACACCCGAAUGCGAAAAUUGUAAGUUCGUACGAAGUUGGUCCCGAUCUCGUUAAAAUACCAAAAAGUGACCGAAGCAAGUACGAUGAAUAACGAAGUAUAUACGAUGGUGCCGAAAUUAUAUACGAUAGCAAAAGAUGGACAUACGAAGUUUAACCGAAGACGGGUAUUUAAGCUUCAUAUCUCAGCCGAAGCCUACACGAUGGAUCACGAAGGCUACACGAUAGAUUACGAAGGCUACACGAUGGAUUACGAUGAUGACACGAUGGCCAUACGAUGUCUAAAAGACGUCGUGUACAGCUU
rnacentral:lncRNA from 1 species